GUCCUCUUGCCCGAAUUCGGAUAAAACCAGUUUAACCCGACCCAGAUCUAUGCGAACCGACCCGGUUUGAAAAAAGGCGUCGGACAAUCCCCAAUCUCUCGUCGUUCGACGGGGCCAUUCGUUUCUCACUUUCCGGUUUUUCUUCGAUUUGCAACGUUGUGAAUGCUUACACAUCUAUGGGACUUCUUCUUGAAGACGAGAUUCUCGGUUCUGCGUUGUUAACCAUUGUUGAAAGAUAUGGCCUGUUGUGAUUCUCUCUGAGGCUUUCUUCUUCUGCCCAUGUGAGCUCCAUUCUAUGGAAGAAUGGCUCUUCCAUUAUCUCUUUCUGCUCUGAAGUUGAAUCUCCAAUAUAUGUUCUUAAUCCCAGUCUGUUGUCAAGCAUCUUUGGGGCUUUCUGAGUUCCUUCACUUGAGGUUAGGCAACUGUCCAGGGAGGAGUUAGGUGGAUACGUUUUUUGCAUCUGUUGAUGGUGUAGAUUCUGCAGUUCUUUCGGUUCGAGGAAACUAGAGUCUGGAUAGUCUGCUGAUACUUUAGAUACUAAUUCUGAGAGUUGAGCUUUUGUUGCUUCAAUCCCAGCUGCACCUAGGUUCUGUCUUCCAAGAGUCUCUUGUGCUUUCUCCAGAAUCGAUUGCAGAGUACAGUAUAUGAUAGAUACCUCAAGUUGCUCGUGUAGCCGUCUCUGGACCUCUAUUUGCAUUUGAAGGGCAUCACUUAUGGGGGGGUUUUCUUCUACCAUGGUCAUCACACCUAAACCAGGUUGCUUUUAGUUUACUUGAAGGAAAAUAGUAUGAAAAAAGAAUGAAUCUUUAGAUUAAAAUAUUUUUGUAUCUGAGUAAUGAAUAACUAAGCUUACUUGUCUUGUUUAAACUGCUGUUAGCUUGUCCAUUAAGAUUCUUGCUUAGCCUAUAUUUCUGGUAGUCAAAUCAUGAUAUUAAUAAUCUUUGUAAAACAAAAAACAGAUAUUACAGAUUUUUCAUAUCUUGACAUAUCGUCAUUUUUGUGCUACUUUAAUAGUUUUCUACCAAUCGAAUUGAUGAACGAGUCAUGUAAGUUUAGGGCCUUGGGCAUAUGACUGUAUAAAGUGUUGAUGGAUUACCUGAAGAUGACUCUUGAGAUGGUAUAAGGUAAGGCCUGGAAUGCCCAUGACUUUCAUGAUUGUCUUAGGAGUAGCCUCUGCGCAGACAAAAGUAUACACAUUAAUACAUUAUGUUCAAAAAGCCUGAUUGUAAAAGAUGGUUCAUUUGCUUAUAAGAUAACUUACUAUCUCCUCCUCCAAGCUGGUUGACCGCUUCAACAAAUCUCUCGUGAAGAUCUGGAGUCCAUUUUAGUCGUGGCUUUGCAUCAGUGGAGAGAAUGAGUCCAGAAUCUCCUGUGCCAUUUCCUCUGAGGAACGGAUGCCUUUCAGAAGAAAUGGGCAUUCUCGAUGAAGAGAGGAUGCUCUUUCCUUGGUGCUGGUUGUGGUAAUACAUAAGUCUGUCUUCAAAAUAAAAAGGCCGGGGUCUCUCAAGAGUAAAAAGUCUUUGCAACUUUGCUUUAUAUAGAAAGUUGAAUGGCAAAAAGGCAAAUUAGAGGAUGAUAACUAAGGGGAAUUCAUUCUUUUUCCUUAUUCCUCAAUUUUUUCAAAGUCCACAGCUCCAACCUCUCUAUCUCUUGAGGGAGCAUAAUUCAACACGUGGGAUUGUGAUUCGCUUGAUUGAAUGAGAGAGGAUUGGAUACAUAAAACAGGAGGAAGCGGGAAAUGACCGCGGAAUUAUAUUCGUUUGGAGAGAAAAUGGAGGGUAAUAAGUGGGUUCGUUCAUGAGAUUCUAGAGAAUGAGAAUAUGAGAAUCCAAAACUAAAGAAAGCUUGGUGAGUCGCAUUCUCAACUCAAGAAUCUUUUUUGUUCAUCACAACCCGAACCCAAAAAAAAAAAGAGACUAUUCGGGUCUAUUUCUUUCCCCUUUUACUUAGUCUCGAUUUUUGUGGAUAUUUUAAUGAAUUGUGAUUCUUAUAAGCACAACAAAAGAUUAGGAGAAUCAUUGUAGGAGUUUUGUGUUCACCACAAGGCAGUGUUGUCUGCAUCCAACCGAAUCAUGUAGCAGUUUUGUUAUAUUGGUUUGAAUAUUAUGAAACUAUAAAAAAUCGAGGGCACUGCGACUGGACGCAAACGCAAAUGCUGGCUAAAUUAUUCGACAAGUCGGAUCAUUAUAAAGAGUUGAUUGUCUAGUUGCAAGUAGUUGG
rnacentral:lncRNA from 1 species